rnacentral:rRNA from 1 species
UGGGGAAUAUUGCACAAUGGACGGAAGUUUGAUGCAGCGACGCCGCGUGGAGGGUGUAGGCCUUCGGGUUGUGAACUCCUUUUUCUCGCGAAAAAGGCACAGUUUUGGCUGUGUUGAUGGUAGUGGGGGAAGAAGCCCCGGCUAACUACGUGCCAGCAGCCGCGGUAAUACGUAGGGGGCUAGCGUUGUCCGGAAUCACUGGGCGUAAAGGGUUCGCAGGCGGAAAUGCAAGUCAGGUGUAAAAGGCAGUAGCUUAACUACUGUAAGCAUUUGAAACUGCAUAUCUUGAGAAGAGUAGAGGUAAGUGGAAUUUUUAGUGUAGCGGUGAAAUGCGUAGAUAUUAAAAAGAAUACCGGUGGCGAAGGCGACUUACUGGGCUCAUUCUGACGCUGAGGAACGAAAGCGUGGGUAGCAAACAGG